UUUGAAUUGAAUUUUAUGAAU
rnacentral:piRNA from 1 species